UACAGAGGUGGCAAGCGUUGUUCGGAAUUACUGGGCGUAAAGGGCGCGUAGGCGGUCUUUUAAGUUCCGUGUGAAAUCCCUCGGCUCAACUGGGGAGGGUCACGCGAUACUGAUCGACUGGAAGGCAGGAGAGGGUAGUGGAAUUCCCGGUGUAGUGGUGAAAUACGUAGAUAUCGGGAGGAACACCAGUGGCGAAGGCGGCUCGCUGGGCCGUUCCUGACGCUGAGACGCGAAAGCUAGGGGAGCGAACAGG
rnacentral:rRNA from 1 species